rnacentral:rRNA from 1 species
UACGGAGGGUGCAAGCGUUAUCCGGAUUCACUGGGUUUAAAGGGUGCGUAGGAGGGCAGGGAAGUCAGUGGUGAAAUCCUAGAGCUUAACUCUAGAACUGCCGUUGAUACUCUCUGUCUUGAAUCCCGUGGAGAUGAGCGGAAUAUGUCAUGUAGCGGUGAAAUGCUUAGAUAUGACAUGGAACACCAAUUGCGAAGGCAGCUUGCUACAGGGAUAUUGACACUGAGGCACGAAAGCGUGGGGAUCAAACAGG